rnacentral:Y_RNA from 1 species
GGUUGGUCCGAAGUAGUGCGUUAAUCUCAACUGAUGGUUCACAGUCAGGUACGAUUGAACUCCUUGUUCUACCCUUUCCCCCCUUCUCCCUACUGCACUUGAUUAGUCUUAA